CCCCGCUUGGGGAGUACGGCCGCAAGGCUAAAACUCAAAGGAAUUGACGGGGGCCCGCACAGCGGCGGAGCAUGUGGAUUAUUUCGAUGCAACGCGAAGAACCUUACCUGGGCUUGACAUACACCAGAUCGCUGCAGAGAUGUAGCUUCCCUUGUGGCUGGUGUACAGGUGGUGCAUGGUUGUCGUCAGCUCGUGUCGUGAGAUGUUGGGUUAAGUCCCGCAACGAGCGCAACCCUUGUCUUAUGUUGCCAUCACGUGAUGGUGGGCACUCAUGAGAGACUGCCGGGGUUAACUCGGAGGAAGGUGGGGAUGACGUCAAAUCAUCAUGCCCCUUAUGUCCAGGGCUUCACACAUGCUACAAUGGUCGGUACAGCGAGUUGCCACACCGUGAGGUGGAGCUAAUCUCUUAAAGCCGGCCUCAGUUCGGAUUGGGGUCUGCAACUCGACCCCAUGAAGUCGGAGUCGCUAGUAAUCGCAGAUCAGCAACGCUGCGGUGAAUACGUUCCCGGGCCUUGUACACACCGCCCGUCACGUCAUGAAAGUUGGUAACACCCGAAGCCAGUGGCCC
rnacentral:rRNA from 1 species